rnacentral:rRNA from 1 species
GUCCACGCCGUAAACGAUGCGCACUGGACCGGUGCCGCUCUGACGCGGUAUCGGUCGUAGGGAAACCGUUAAGUGCGCCGCCUGGGGGAGUACGGUCGCAAGGCUAAAACUCAAAGGAAUUGACGGGGGGCUCACACAAGCGGUGGAGCAUGUGGCUUAAUUCGAGGCAACGCGAAGAACCUUACCUGGGUUUGACAUGCUUGGAUUAACUCCUGGAAACAGGAGCCACACCCGCAAGGGUGGAACAAGCACAGGUGCUGCAUGGCUGUCGU